UCCUUUCCUGCACGGCUGCACGUGAUGGGGAUUACGAGCGACGUACGUGAUUUUGCAAGUACAGGUGAUAAAGAUUCAUGAUUUGGCUGCGCGCAUGCUUGCUGGCUGGAGGAGUUUGAUUCAUUACUUGAUGGCCUCAAAAUGGAUACAAGAUCUGUUGGAAUCAAGAAGGCGUUAAGGGAAUUUAAAUUAUGUCUAAUCUGUACCGGGACGACGCCGACAGUAAAAGGAACUAAGGAAAGGUUCUCGAGGUCUGCUCCUUCUCCACCGGUAGAGAGGAGCCUCCUUCUCAUGAUUCGCCUGUCUGCCCCGGCCCUCCCCGGCUAGAGCUGACGCCAUGGAAGGUCUGGCGGCUCCAUGGAUACAUGGAAGCCGCCAUCAUUUAGACGGACAGCCGCCAUCAUUUUGUCAGACUAAGUGUGGAGUUACUUGUGCAAGUUCCACCAUCAACAAACACAAAGUUCUGCAUGCUAUCAUCGCAAGUAAAGCAGUCAGUCUGUUAGGGAGAAAACAAAGGCUUGUGUGCUCAUUAGUUUUUUUUUAUUCUAUCAUGUGGUCUCCUUAUCUAUCUGUAACAUGUGACCUGUGCAACUGCAAAAAUGUUAGACAAUAAAAUUCUGUGUAACACAUGUUCUUAUACACUUUGCCUAUAGAGACUGUGCAUAGUUAUUCCCUUU